rnacentral:rRNA from 1 species
UCGAUGAGUAGGGCGGGACACGUGGUAUCCUGUCUGAAUAUGGGGGGACCAUCCUCCAAGGCUAAAUACUCCUGACUGACCGAUAGUGAACCAGUACCGUGAGGGAAAGGCGAAAAGAACCCCGGCGAGGGGAGUGAAAAAGAACCUGAAACCGUGUACGUACAAGCAGUGGGAGCACGCUUAGGCGUGUGACUGCGUACCUUUUGUAUAAUGGGUCAGCGACUUAUAUUCUGUAGCAAGGUUAACCGAAUAGGGGAGCCGAAGGGAAACCGAGUCUUAACUGGGCGUUAAGUUGCAGGGUAUAGACCCGAAACCCGGUGAUCUAGCCAUGGGCAGGUUGAAGGUUGGGUAACACUAACUGGAGGACCGAACCGACUAAUGUUGAAAAAUUAGCGGAUGACUUGUGGCUGGGGGUGAAAGGCCAAUCAAACCGGGAGAUAGCUGGUUCUCCCCGAAAGCUAUUUAGGUAGCGCCUCGUGAAUUCAUCUCCGGGGGUAGAGCACUGUUUCGGCAAGGGGGUCAUCCCGAC